ACCUCAUCGAUCAGAAGGGAUUCCUUCCGGUCAAUGAGGUUUACCUCAUCGAUCAGAAGGGAUUCCUUCCGGUCAAUGAGGU
rnacentral:miRNA from 1 species